UUUCCGUAGGUGAACCUGCGGAAGGAUCAUUAUUGUAUAACCGAGGUGCGAGGGCUGUCGCUGACCCGAAAGGUCGUGCACGCCCGAGUGCCCUCACACACAUCCAUCUCACCCCUAUGUGCACCACCGCGUGGGUCCCCCUUUGGCUUGUUCGGAGGGGGGCUUACGUUUUCACACAAACUUUGUAUGCAGUGUAGAAUGUAUUUUUUGUUUUUGCGAUCACGCAAUCAAUACAACUUUCAACAACGGAUCUCUUGGCUCUCGCAUCGAUGAAGAACGCGGC
rnacentral:misc_RNA from 1 species